UACGUAGGGCGCAAGCGUAUCCGGAAUUAUUGGGCGUAAAGAGCUCGUAGGCGGUUUGUCGCGUCUGCCGUGAAAGUCCGGGGCUCAACUCCGGAUCUGCGGUGGGUACGGGCAGACUAGAGUGAUGUAGGGGGAGACUGGAAUUCCUGGUGUAGCGGUGAAAUGCGCAGAUAUCAGGAGGAACACCGAUGGCGAAGGCAGGUCUCUGGGCAUUAACUGACGCUGAGGAGCGAAAGCUGGGGAGCGAACAGG
rnacentral:rRNA from 1 species